rnacentral:rRNA from 1 species
UACGAAGGGGGCUAGCGUUGCUCGGCAUCACUGGGCGUAAAGGGUGCGUAGGCGGGUUUUUAAGUCAGGGGUGAAAUCCUGGAGCUCAACUCCAGAACUGCCUUUGAUACUGAAGAUCUUGAGUCCGGGAGAGGUGAGUGGAACUGCGAGUGUAGAGGUGAAAUUCGUAGAUAUUCGCAAGAACACCAGUGGCGAAGGCGGGUCUCUGGACAGUUCCUGACACUGAGGCACGAAGGCCAGGGGAGCAAACGGG